rnacentral:lncRNA from 1 species
UAAUGGUUUAAAAACAACAAAGCAAAUCUUAUCGAAACUGGUUUUGUAUUUUUGAUUACAUCUGACUUUUCACAUUUUUAUAUCCAACUGUGACCACGGUAGUGCUUCCAUAGCUUGUGUUCAAGGUCCUGUUUCUUUCCAGGUUGAAUUCUUAGGGUUGUGUUGAUGCCAAAUGAUUCAGGGGCAGGACUGGGGCCUGGCUAGCAGACCUGUCAGGGGGUUGAGUGCUCCCUCCGCAGAUCACCGGCUGGCAGCAGGGAGCCUGGGGACCCAGUGAGCCGACGUCGCAUUCCAUUGCGUGAACCCUCACAGACAGCUCAUAUCUCCAACUGAUUUAAGGCCAACGGCUUUGGCCAGAUCUUUGCCAAGGACUCUUCGAACCUGAGCUGCCCCCACCCCUGCACUACCCAGCUUCCUGGGUAAGGGAGGACAUUUUUGCAAACAAAACUUGUGAAAUUAAUUUGUGAUUAUGGUUCGUUUGUUUUUUUGUUUUUUUUUUCUUCUUGCUGGAAACGUGCUGGGAACUGGACAGCAUGAUGUUAAUCGCUCUUUCUGCUUUUCCAAACCAAUACACCUGUUGUGCUCUUUUGCUUCUUAGUGAAGAAAAUUCUAGACACAGACCUAACAAUGAACUCUUUUCCUCCGGUAUUUCUGAUUAGCAAUUCUCCCUAUGUAUUCCUACCUUGUUGAAGUGUUUUCCUUCUUAGCAUUGCUUCUCAUAUUUUACUUUAUUUUUUUACUGAACAACAACAAACCCACAAAGGAACAAAUAAUCUCUUUCUCUUUUUCUCUUUCUCUCUCUGAUGUGUAAUGUUGUGUUCAUAAUUCUAUUUAUAACUUGUUUUAUUACUCAAGAUUCAGCAUAGUGUACUAUCUAUCUCUAUUGUAUUUACUGUUCCUUAAAACCAGGUUGUGGAAGUUCACGUCGUCUGGCACAGAUGUCUCCAUUGCCGAUUUCUCUAAGUUGUGUUCCAUUUAAUUUGCUGUACAGUCCAGAUCUGAAGCACCCCAAGCCCAAUAAGCAAAGGCUGUCACCUCUCCUUCUGGAGGUCUGUUCCUCUGAGCAGUACUGUGGUUUUUCCCUUGCCACGGAACAUCUAUUUUUUUUUUUUCAAAUCUAGUUAUGUAAAGGAGGACAAAAAGACAGGAAGUUAGGCAGAAAUCUAAGAAUUCUUUAUGUUUUGUACAUAAUAGUACAUAUAUUAUAGAUAGACAGGCAGGCAGACUUUAUGUGUGUAUUAAGCAGAAAGGCAAUUGAAGUUAUCCAAAGACUCAGAGAGAGAGAGAGACCCUGGAUUUUUCUCCCUGGUGUGUGUCACUAGAUCAGUAUGAGAGCUGCAGAAAAACUGUUCGUCCUUCCUGUGCCUCAGUGUCACCACAUGUAAGAUGAGGCAGGGCAGUGUUUGGGAGGAGUGGAGAGGAGAGGCAACUAUACUUUCCUGAGUCUUCAGUGCACUUAGAGCAAGAGCAGGGUCUUUACCCAGGAGAUGUAAUCACUGUGUGUCUGGAGACCAUGCUGUCAGCAUCCUCUUUCCUCAAGAUAUUCAGGUCCACUCGGGGGCCACCCUGGAUUGGCAUUAUCCUGACUUCCAAAGUCUUCUCUUUGGCCAGGUGGCUCCUGCACAGCUUGGAAGGAGGUGGGAUUGGUAGACACUAUCUCUGGCAGAUGGAAUUGACUUUCUGUCACCUGGAUUCCUAUCUUUUCUAUAACCCAGUCAGAAUCACGGGCUUGCUUUUCCUCAGGCCCACAGAAGUUUGACACUCUGUAUUUUCCCACCGAAAACUGUUAGGCCCUCCCCACCCCCACCACUGGGAACCAACAUGCACCUUUGAUACUAGAAGCACCUGCAUUGCCAGCAUUUGUGGUCUUGCAGAUGUUGGUCUUUGGCAGAAAAGUUCACCUCUCUCCAAAUGGUCCUGUCUUUCCUCCUCAAAUCCAGAGGAUAGGCUAGUCCUCUGAGGUCUUCAGGCUUCUUGACACAUCAGUCCUGAUGGCCAACCAGGUGGAGACGAGGACUUGCUCUGUCCUCACUCUUUGAGGCUCUUGUCAUCCUACUGGGAUGUAUGUGCCUGUGAGCACUGAGCUCAUGGCUGGCCAUUGCCAGCAGACAUCUUUCAAAAUACAUUGACAUUUUCAUUAGGUUGAGUAGCACUUGCUAUGUUUCCUCAGCAUCAGGGUUGACUGCAAAGUGGCAAGAUGAGGAAACUGAAGCCCAGGAAGAGAGAGGAAGUGAUUUUUCCAAAGAAACACAGCUAGAAAUUUGUGGAGCUCCUGCACCACAAUGCUUCUCUGUCCCUCUCUUGACUUGUAAUGGGUAGCUAAGAGUCCUUCGAAUUUUUGAAAUUUAUAUGGUAUUUUCCAAAGUGUCAUGUUUUAUAUAACUUUCUGGGAAAGAAAACAGUCUAUUUUCUUAGUUACUGCAGUCAAUGUGAACACACAAAUCAACCCCCCACCCCUCGAAACCUGGCUGUCUAUAAACCAAAUUAGGAGGGUUGGGAUUUUGAAUAAGAAAUGAGCUGAUGUCUUAUUUACCUAUACUUUCAGGGAUGAGGAAGAAUAAUGAGAGUAAGAAAUGGCAGGAUCGAAAUCUAUAAACUUAACUAAGUCUCUUGCUAGAACAGAUCUUUCUAAAAUAAUCCAAGUGGUCUGUUCAUCCACCCAGCCACCCUAUCUCUUCUUCAGCUGUUACAACUUUCUUGGGUGGCUUCCACGCCCAAGGCAUCAGAUCCCUCCAGAAGAAUAUUCCACAGUUCCUUUUAGCUGUCUGUUUCAGGAAGCCUACAACUUUUAAGUCUUCCUAAUUCUUACUAUAAAUUCCCCCCCCUCCAUUCUGCACCUCUCUCUGCUAAAUUUUAUCUCAACUGAGCCACCAGAACCCAAAGUGUAGUUUCCUUGUGUAGAAUGGUGUGCCUGGAACUUUCCUGGGUGUCAUUCUUCUAAAAAUGGCGCAGGCCUACAUACCUCUCUCCCCCCUGAGGGGUUGGAAGUGCCUGGCUCAUGGGGCCUCUUUUCCUUUGGGAAAACACCCUUUGAGGUGUGUCCUCAUAGGCUUACAAGCACUUCUUAUUGCUACCAGGGCCCACUGUUCCCUACUAGUGUCAUCACUGGGAAAAGCCCAGUGUCCUGCCUUCCUUUCCCUAGCUUGCAGUUCUUCAAAUUCUUUUUCCUAUUAAAAGGAAAAAUGUCUUUGAUUCCAAUUAGAUUACAGUGCUGUUUCUCUAAAGAGAUCGAGUAACUUGAGCUGAAGAUUUGUAGAGGAUUGAUUCCCUGCAAUGGCUGUUCUAUAGCAUUUUACCCCCUUACCUUGUCAGCAGGCCCCCAGUCAGGCUCCAGAGAAAACUAAACACGGCCAGGGGCUCAGGAAGGACAUCUGGUGUCCCUCCUGGUGGUGGUUCCCCUGAGAGGAAGAAGCUACCAUGACUACAUUGUCCCACAAAACCUUAGGGGAGGGUGUCUCCUUUGAACUGUUGGGGCUGAAAAGAGAUUUUGAAGAAUGUGCCCCCUUUGGCUUGAUGGAGAAGGGUAUUUGCUAUUAAUCAUGUUCUCAAGGCUAAUUGGCAGGAUUUAGAAAAACAGCUCACCUGCUUUACAACGUGGUAAGAGCAGAGCUGAAGAACAUGACAUUGACUUAAGGAUGUAAAUCCAACCAAAACAUCUUAAUCCCUGCAGAAAGAGUGCUGGGUUCCAGUUCCGGCCCUGCAUGAACUCCCCAUGUGACUGUGGGCACUUAACUGCUGGGUACUGUCUGUAAAAUGAGGGAUUAAGCUAGAUAACCUCCCAGGGGUCUUGUUUUGUAUUGUAGAUAUUUUCAAAACAUAUGUUUAAAUACAUAUGAAAAUAGAAUUGUACAAUGAAGUCCCACAGAGCUACCAACAGACUUCAACAGUGAUCAACUCCUGACCAGGCUUGUUUUCAUCUGUACCCCCGUCAGCCUACUGAUCACAUUGGCUUUAUUAUGGAUUUGUUAUUACAAUCUUUGGGUUCCUGGAAAAAAUGUUGCCCCAUUUUCUUAGGACCAAAAUAAGAUGGCUUCCACCAGAGGAAGAUCAGGCAGGGCACUGGUCCCUAGACAGCUGACCAUUGCAACUGGCAUUUCUCCUUCUGCACAUCUUGUCCCUAUGAAUGCUCCUUGUUGAGGUGGUGCUGAGUAAUUGGAGCAUAGCCAUCCCUGGAUCCAAGACCUUGCAUCCUCGGGCCCCACACAUGGAGAAAUCUUGCUCAGGCUGCAGCCUAGUGUGACAGGAUGGAGGGGCCAUUGUCUCAUUUACUGAGCCCACCUAUGGUUCACCUGCUGGAGUGAGGAGCUUUCCCUUCUAGCAAUGCCUGAGAGCUAGUUACUCAAUUCCAGGGCCUCAGCAGUCAAAUCUCCUUCAUCUUGCCAGAAACCUGCCCAGUAUGGAGGCCACUCUUAAGGUUUAUCCUUCCCAUGGCAUUUCAAGGUCUGUUUCCUUCACUGCAGAACAAGGGCAAAGGAAAGGGUUCUUCCAUCUGCUCUGUUUAGUCUUUUGUACAUUUCCUUGUGAUUCAGGUCAAAGGAGCUUCUUUCACUCCCUUAAAGAUCCAGCCAUGCACUCACAAACCUUCCCAUGACCUCACAUUCCCAUGGACUUCCCAUCUGAUGUAGGGGGAGCAUUCCUGAACCCGGAAGGGCUAGCCCUGGUCUCCAGCUGAGCCAAGGUCUCCCUGGGGCAUUCGGCCUCAGGCCUUGCUUUCCAGGACGCAGGGUGUUCAAGGCCAGAGGGGCCAGAUGGUCUUUGGCAAAGGACUUGCCUGAACUCUGCAUGAACCUUGGUGCUUCCACUUUUCACUCAACAGUGACCAUGCCUGCCCUCCUGAAGGGACCUCGGGAAAGAGAGUCUGGAGCCUAGAAACCUGGGUCCUGUUGCCCCAAGCCAGAGAUAUGCCUUCUCUUCUGUGGAGCCUGCUAAAGGGCAAACCCUCUGCUCCUGCACUCUGUCUGUAUUUUCCGAGCUUUGUGAGCCAAGGCCUCCGGUGCUGGGGGCUGGGAGGUAGCUGAGGACAACGGGACUCCUUCUUACCUUUUGUUUACCUUCAGUCUGGCUGAAUUUAGCUGCCCUUAACUUCUAGUUUGCUAACGUCCUUAUUGCCUUAACAGCCACCUAACAGUUAGAACCAGAAGAGAAAGCCCCGUCGGCAGCAUUCAUUGUUAAGCCCCACAUUUGUCACUGGCUCCCCUUCCCCUGUGCUGCUGUGCCUGAAAAGAGGCCCAGCCCUGUCCCCUAAGCGCUGGGUUGGCCUCUUGCUGAGACAGAAACAGUUCCCAGGUUGAGGGCAAACCCAGAACUGCUCAGGCGGGGCUCCCCACUAGCGUUUCCCCUCCCGCCCCCCUUGCUCAGCUUCAGAUCUGGACUCCUCACGCUCUUUGCGCCACCUCUUGCUCCAGAGACCCUCCACACCCCAUCAUUCUCCGAGCCGUUCCUGAGGACCAUCUAGACUUUCCGUUCUCCUGAACAUUCUAUCCACCUUCAGCUGCGGCAUAUCCUUUAGCCUCUCCACCAAGCUCUUUAAAAACACAAGGCAGUUGCUGUCUUCCCAUGGACAAUAAUGAAUGUAUCUACUGUUAAGUGCAGACCAUGUAGAGAAGUGGCUGGGUUAAUCAAAAAGAGGAUUUUUGUAAAGCCUGUUUAUUUUUUUAAGUCAGUUUUGAGCAUUUCUAUUUUAUCACCCUUCACAUGGUUUUGGGGAACCCAAAUUGUAUCAAGGUCUCAUGCCAAAACAAGCCAAAAGUUGUUUUCUUUACCUUUUUCCUCCAUGCACCAUGAUUUAAAUGAUUGUUUCAGUGUCAUUUUAAAUGUUUUCUUGUAACAUGUACUGACGAUAAAAGUCAUCUUGACAAAAAAAGAUUUAUACAUGAAUCAGAAAGUAUUUAUUUCAAUUUUGUACCUUUCCAUUUUAAUACAUUAUAAUGUAUUGACUCAACUGAGAUACUAUAAACAGUUCAUUUUAAU